rnacentral:rRNA from 1 species
GAUGAACGCUGGCGGCGUGCCUAAUACAUGCAAGUCGAGCGAACGGACGAGAAGCUUGCUUCUCUGAUGUUAGCGGCGGACGGGUGAGUAACACGUGGAUAACCUACCUAUAAGACUGGGAUAACUUCGGGAAACCGGAGCUAAUACCGGAUGAUAUUUUGAACCGCAUGGUUCAAAAGUGAAAGACGGUCUUGCUGUCACUUAUAGAUGGAUCCGCGCUGCAUUAGCUAGUUGGUAAGGUAACGGCUUACCAAGGCAACGAUGCAUAGCCGACCUGAGAGGGUGAUCGGCCACACUGGAACUGAGACACGGCCCAGACUCCUACGGGAGGCAGCAGUAGGGAAUCUGCCGCAAUGGGCGAAAGCCUGACGGAGCAACGCCGCGUGAGUGAUGAAGGUCUUCGGAUCGUAAAACUCUGUUAUGAGGGAAGAACAUAUGUGUAAGUAACUGUGCACAUCUUGACGGUACCUAAUCAGAAAGCCACGGCUAACUACGG